rnacentral:rRNA from 1 species
UACAGAGGUCUCGAGCGUUAGGCGGAAUCACUGGGCUUAAAGCGUGUGUAGGCGGAUCGGUAAGUACCUUGUGAAAUCCCACAGCUUAACUGUGGAACUGCUUGGUAUACUGCCAGUCUUGAGCCAGCUAGGGGCUACCGGAACAAAUGGUGGAGCGGUGAAAUGCGUAGAUCUUGGAAAGACCACCAAUGGCGAAGGCACUCUACUGGGCCAUACCUGACACUAAGAGACGAAAGCUAGGGGAGCAAAUGGG